rnacentral:tRNA from 1 species
GUGCGCGUUGUUGCAGGUCAGGGCGUGUCUGAGCUACGGAUUCAGGAGGCCUUGUAAACAGGUGGUUGGGGGUUCGAGUCCCCCCGCCAGCUC